rnacentral:tRNA from 1 species
AAGAGGAAAAUCCGUAGUCCCUCUAUCCCCAAUAAAAAGGCCCAU